GGUUAAGCGACUAAGCGUACACGGUGGAUGCCCUGGCAGUCAGAGGCGAUGAAGGACGUGCUAAUCUGCGAAAAGCGACGGCGAGGUGAUAUGAACCUUUGACCCGUCGAUGUCCGAAUGGGGAAACCCAGUGUGUUCCGACACACUAUCGUUAACUGAAUACAUAGGUUAACGAGGCGAACCGGGGGAACUGAAACAUCUAAGUACCCCGAGGAAAAGAAAUCAACCGAGAUUCCCCCAGUAGCGGCGAGCGAACGGGGAGCAGCCCGGAGUCUGAAUCAGCUUGUGUGUUAGUGGAACGGUCUGGAAAGUCCGACGGUACAGGGUGAUAGUCCCGUACACGAAAAUGCACUUGCUGUGAACUCGAAGAGUAGGGCGGGACACGUGGUAUCCUGUCUGAAUAUGGGGGGACCAUCCUCCAAGGCUAAAUACUCCUGACUGACCGAUAGUGAACCAGUACCGUGAGGGAAAGGCGAAAAGAACCCCGGCGAGGGGAGUGAAAAAGAACCUGAAACCGUGUACGUACAAGCAGUGGGAGCCUCUUUAUGGGGUGACUGCGUACCUUUUGUAUAAUGGGUCAGCGACUUAUAUUCUGUAGCAAGGUUAACCGUAUAGGGGAGCCGAAGGGAAACCGAGUCUUAACUGGGCGUUAAGUUGCAGGGUAUAGACCCGAAACCCGGUGAUCUAGCCAUGGGCAGGUUGAAGGUUGGGUAACACUAACUGGAGGACCGAACCGACUAAUGUUGAAAAAUUAGCGGAUGACCUGUGGCUGGGGGUGAAAGGCCAAUCAAACCGGGAGAUAGCUGGUUCUCCCCGAAAGCUAUUUAGGUAGCGCCUCGUGAACUCAUCUUCGGGGGUAGAGCACUGUUUCGGCUAGGGGGCCAUCCCGGCUUACCAACCCGAUGCAAACUACGAAUACCGAAGAAUGUUAUCACGGGAGACACACGGCGGGUGCUAACGUCCGUCGUGAAGAGGGAAACAACCCAGACCGCCAGCUAAGGUCCCAAAGUCAUGGUUAAGUGGGAAACGAUGUGGGAAGGCACAGACAGCCAGGAUGUUGGCUUAGAAGCAGCCAUCAUUUAAAGAAAGCGUAAUAGCUCACUGGUCGAGUCGGCCUGCGCGGAAGAUGUAACGGGGCUAAACCAUGCACCGAAGCUGCGGCAGCGACACUAUGUGUUGUUGGGUAGGGGAGCGUUCUGUAAGCCGUUGAAGGUGUGCUGUGAGGCAUGCUGGAGGUAUCAGAAGUGCGAAUGCUGACAUAAGUAACGAUAAAGCGGGUGAAAAGCCCGCUCGCCGGAAGACCAAGGGUUCCUGUCCAACGUUAAUCGGGGCAGGGUGAGUCGACCCCUAAGGCGAGGCCGAAAGGCGUAGUCGAUGGGAAACAGGUUAAUAUUCCUGUACUUGGUGUUACUGCGAAGGGGGGACGGAGAAGGCUAUGUCAGCCGGGCGACGGUUGUCCCGGUUUAAGCAUGUAGGCGGAGGUUCCAGGUAAAUCCGGUACCUUAUUAACGCUGAGGUGUGAUGACGAGGCACUACGGUGCUGAAGUGAUAAAUGCCCUGCUUCCAGGAAAAGCCUCUAAGCAUCAGGUAACACGAAAUCGUACCCCAAACCGACACAGGUGGUCAGGUAGAGAAUACCAAGGCGCUUGAGAGAACUCGGGUGAAGGAACUAGGCAAAAUGGUGCCGUAACUUCGGGAGAAGGCACGCUGAUAUGUAGGUGAAGCCCCUGCGGGCGGAGCUGAAAUCAGUCGAAGAUACCAGCUGGCUGCAACUGUUUAUUAAAAACACAGCACUGUGCAAACACGAAAGUGGACGUAUACGGUGUGACGCCUGCCCGGUGCCGGAAGGUUAAUUGAUGGGGUUAGCGGCAACGCGAAGCUCUUGAUCGAAGCCCCGGUAAACGGCGGCCGU
rnacentral:rRNA from 1 species